UACAGAGGGUGCGAGCGUUAAUCGGAAUUACUGGGCGUAAAGCGCGCGUAGGCGGCUUUGCAAGUCGGGUGUGAAAUCCCCAGGCUUAACCUGGGAACUGCAUUCGAGACUGCAUUGCUAGAGUAUGGGAGAGGGAAGUGGAAUUCCCGGUGUAGCGGUGGAAUGCGUAGAUAUCGGGAAGAACACCGGUGGCGAAGGCGGCUCGCUGGGCCAUUGCUGACGCUGAGGCGCGAAAGCGUGGGGAGCAAACAGG
rnacentral:rRNA from 1 species